CGGGGAAUAUUGCACAAUGGGCGCAAGCCUGAUGCAGCCAUGCCGCGUGUGUGAAGAAGGCCUUCGGGUUAUAAAGCACUUUCAGCGGGGAGGAAGGCGGUGAGGUUAAUAACCUCAUCGAUUGACGUUACCCGCAGAAGAAGCACCGGCUAACUCCGUGCCAGCAGCCGCGGUAAUACGGAGGGUGCAAGCGUUAAUCGGAAUUACUGGGCGUAAAGCGCACGCAGGCGGUCUGUCAAGUCGGAUGUGAAAUCCCCGGGCUCAACCUGGGAACUGCAUUCGAAACUGGCAGGCUAGAGUCUUGUAGAGGGGGGUAGAAUUCCAGGUGUAGCGGUGAAAUGCGUAGAGAUCUGGAGGAAUACCGGUGGCGAAGGCGGCCCCCUGGACAAAGACUGACGCUCAGGUGCGAAAGCGUGGGGAGCAAACAGG
rnacentral:rRNA from 1 species